UACGAAGGGGGCUAGCGUUGCUCGGAAUCACUGGGCGUAAAGGGUGCGUAGGCGGGUUUUUAAGUCAGAGGUGAAAUCCUGGAGCUCAACUCCAGAACUGCCUUUGAUACUGAAAGUCUUGAGUAUGGGAGAGGUGAGUGGAAUUCCCGGUGUAGUGGUGAAAUGCGUAGAUAUCGGGAGGAACACCAGUGGCGAGGGCGACUACCUGGCCUGUUCUUGACGCUGAGGCGCGAAAGCUAGGGGAGCAAACGGG
rnacentral:rRNA from 1 species